rnacentral:lncRNA from 1 species
CCAUUCUGCUUGAUACCCUCAGCACCAGGCAGAGCCUGGCCACAGCUGGUCCCCCUGAAUCUUUGCUGGACACAACUGUGCAUGAGGAGACAUCAGCAUGUCACUUUCCUUGACACCCAACUACUGCCCCCAGAAGAGAUUCUUUCCAGGCUAAGAAAGACCCCACUGCCUAUCCAGCAGUGGGGCUCAGUAAGCCAUGAAGUGAUUUACAAACAUUGGCCACCAUGGUCUAUUACAGGUAGAAGCAACAGUGAAAAUCACGACGGUGAGAUCAAGCAAAGCAGAUGGACUGAAGGACAAGGACGACUGCCCAGCAGAGGGAGGGAAAGCCCGGGCUGGACUCCACGUCGCCGGAGCUCCCAGGAAGCAGAAGUUUGCUUGGUAAACUUGGAAUCGGAACCUGGGAAUUGGGCCACUGGGAUAUUCAAUGGCGUCAGACCGGUGUAGCUGAUACUCCUGGACAGAGGGGCCCUGCCAACUGGACAGAUGUGUGAAGUGUUGCUGACCGAGCUCCUUGCUCUGUGUGGGAGGGAGCUUGCCAGCUCCAGCCUUGUGGGUCUCCUUUUUCUAUUUCCAAGCUUAAAUAAGCACUUGGCUGUUCUGAUUAGCAUUUUUAAAAGCUGUGUUAAUAAGUUCAAUUAAAAUAGAAGAAUCUCUCAUUCUGUCAUAUCAGGGUUUUUUUUAAUUGCAAACCAAUAAAACUUAAAUGAACUUAAGCAAA